AAAAAAUUAGUUAAACCCAAUAACAUUAGUAUGUCAAACUAAAAUUAUCUCAUUUCAUAGAUAUUUUUUG
rnacentral:tRNA from 1 species